CCAGUGCCCUGGUAGUUUCUAUUUCAGUGUCUUGUUACUCAAGCCUUCUAUUGGGAAAUGGGUGCCAAGAAAAGAAACAGCUGUCAACAUUGCCAGCUCUCGUCAAGUGUCUCGAUGUAUGGCUAAGCGCCAGGUAAAGAAAAGAAGAAUCUAGAACACAGCCUGCCCUGCUCACUGCAUAACCCACAGCCCUUCUUGCAUGGCUGAGCGCCAGAACUUGCAAGAUCCUUGGGGAAAGUCGUUAAAAAAACACAUGGCCUACUUACCGAGCUGAACAAAGGAUUUUGA